GGGAUCUCACUGCACAAGUUUGCUGUCAUGUACUGAAUUGUUGAUUCUCACUUUGGAAGCAAGGCAGAGUCCUGUCUUGAGGUCAAGGUGUGGCUCAGCCCUCUCCCCUGCCCCAAGAACUUCCCUGUGCAGAGCAAUGCUUCAGUGUCAGGAUGACUGAACUAUUCAUUUACAAGGUGGAAAGAAAAACUGAGUUCAACACCACGAUGCUCUUGAAGGUGCUGACAAAAGACAGCAUGAAAUUCUACCACCUCUCAGAUGGAGUGUGGUGAAGAACCAAACAACCAUCACUGUAUGGCACGUGGCAAGAAUCUUGCAAAAUGCCGUUGCAGAUUCCUGGGCAGGGAGAGCUGGAACAGUGAUGGACUGGGUCAAGUAACAUUGCUGUGAGGUGCAAAUGGAAGACACUGAGAUGUCAUCACUACGCUUGAAACAGUUAUUUCCCCGUGGUUUGUGUGAGAGAUCCGUACUGAGAUUUUAUUAUUAAUUAGUGGUUGGGGUGAAUAAGUUUAUCUGCAAAAUGUAGAUCCAGAUGAGAAAUAUAGAAGCUUCUUCAGCA
rnacentral:lncRNA from 1 species